GACGAACGCUGGCGGCGUGCUUAACACAUGCAAGUCGAACGGAAAGGCCCUGCUUUUGUGGGGUGCUCGAGUGGCGAACGGGUGAGUAACACGUGAGUAACCUGCCCUUGACUUUGGGAUAACUUCAGGAAACUGGGGCUACUACCGGAUAGGAUCUCCUGCUGCAUGGUGGGGGUUGGAAAGUUUCGGCGGUUGGGGAUGGACUCGCGGCUUAUCAGCUUGUUGGUGGGGUAGUGGCUUACCAAGGCUUUGACGGGUAGCCGGCCUGAGAGGGUGACCGGCCACAUGGGGACUGAGAUACGGCGCAGACGGCUACGGGAGGCAGCGGGGGGGAAUAUUGCACAAUGGGCGGAAGCCUGAUGCAGCAACGCCGCGUGCGGGAUGACGGCCUUCGGGUUGUAAAACGCUUUCGCCUGUGACGAAGCGGGAGUGACGGUAAUGGGUAAAGAAGCACCGGCUAACUACGUG
rnacentral:rRNA from 1 species